rnacentral:rRNA from 1 species
GAUGAACGCUAGCUACAGGCUUAACACAUGCAAGUCGAGGGGUAACGAGAGGAAAGCUUGCUUUCCUUGUCGACGACCGGCGCACGGGUGAGUAACGCGUAUCCAACCUGCCCCCAACUAGGGAAUAACCUUGCGAAAGUAAGACUAAUACCCUAUAAUUUCCUCAGAUGUCAUCUGACGAGGAAUAAAGAUUUAUCGGUUGUGGAUGGGGAUGCGUCUGAUUAGCUUGUUGGCGGGGUAACGGCCCACCAAGGCAACGAUCAGUAGGGGUUCUGAGGUGAAGGAGCCCGACAUUGGAACUGAGACACGGUCCAAACUACUACGGGAGGCAGCAGUGAGGAAUUUUGGUCAAUGGGCGGAAGCCUGAACCAGCCAAGUAGCGGGCAGGAUGACGGCCCUAUGGGUUGUAAACUGCUUUUAUACAGGAAUAAAGUUAGCCACGUGUGGUUAUUUGUAGGUACUGUAUGAAUAAGGACCGGCUAAUUCCGUGCCAGCCGCCGCCGUAA